AAGUCGUAACAAGGUUUCCGUAGGUGAACCUGCGGAAGGAUCAUUCGUGUGUAAACUUUGUGGUAUGGUAGCACACUAUUGUUGUGCUACUACUUACUAUCAAAACUUUGUGUGAACCGUAAUGACCUAGUAUAAAGGCAGGCAUUACAAAAUAGUCAGAGGUGUGGGAUAUAAUAUUUUUUUUCAACUAUUGUUACAUAAUAUAUUAUCAUUUAUAUAUAAAAAUUUGUACAACCUUUAACAAUGGAUCUCUUGGCUCCU
rnacentral:misc_RNA from 1 species